rnacentral:tRNA from 1 species
GUUCUUGUAGUUGAAGUACAGCAGUGGUUUUUCAUUCCACCGGUUUUGGUUAGAGUCCAGACAAGAAUU